rnacentral:rRNA from 1 species
AACGCGAAGAACCUUACCUGGGUUUGACAUCCGGAGACAGGUGCAGAGAUGUACCCUCCCCUUCGGGGGCUCCGAGACAGGUGCUGCAUGGCUGUCGUCAGCUCGUGUCGUAAGAUGUUGGGUUAAGUCCCGCAACGAGCGCAACCCUUGUCUUUAGUUGCCACCAUUAAGUUGAGCACUCUAAAGAGACUGCCGGUGUUAAACCGGAGGAAGGCGGGGAUGACGUCAAGUCCUCAUGGCCCUUACAUCCAGGGCUACACACGUACUACAAUGGCAGAAACAAACCGUCGCGAAACCGUGAGGUGGAGCUAAUCGGAAAAACACUGUCUCAGUUCGGAUUGGAGUCUGCAACUCGACUCCAUGAAGUUGGAAUCGCUAGUAAUCGCAGAUCAGCACGCUGCGGUGAAUACGUUCCCGGGCCUUGUACACACCGUGUCGA